rnacentral:lncRNA from 1 species
CCCAGUGGAAGGAAGGAAGGAAGGGAGAGAGGGAGGAAGGAAACUCAGUUUUUCAGGCUAUUAAAAUUAUUAUCCUCAAGGCUGAAAUUGUCCAAUUUCUGGCCAGUAGAAUCCUCUCAUAGAAUUAAUCUUGAAUUAUUAAUACAAUCCCAGUAGGCUUUGAUAGCCUUCUUGCUUUCUUGUAUAGCAAAUUGUUCCAAGCUCCUCUGGUACCUUUCCUGCCCCAGUCCUUAAUCAACCAUUUCCCUAAAUAGCUAAGGUGACUUUUAACCAGGGACCUUGUCAGGCUUUCUUUAUCUACCUCCUCUCUGCCCAUGAACUGUGGUUCAUUCAAUUUCUGAUUAUUUUCUGCAGUUCCAAAGCAAGUUUCAGCAGCCACCUUGAUAGGAAUGCAGACAUCCUGGCCUCCCAUUUAUUAUGUUGCCUCAAAUAGGGACUCAGACUAAUGCUUAAUUCCCAUAUCACAAAUGAGAACUGCCAUAAUUUUUAACAUUUCUUUACUGAAAGCCAAAAUGGUGGGGGGAAAUUACAUUACCUGCAAACUAGCAACCACCAUUAAUUCUGGCUGCUUUUAGGACCACAGAGCUUCCCGUUAUCCAGGCCUUCUCUGUGGCUAAGGCCAGCUCAUCCCAACAUGCCGGGACACCCUUGAUCACCAAUGAGCACCCUAAAGAGUUCUUUCUUAAAAUUCAUUCUCUUCCCUGUGUUAGAAAGUCAUACUUUUGGGCUGGGGAUGUGGCUCAAGCGGUAGCGCGCUCGCCUGGCAUGCGUGCGGCCCGGGUUUGAUCCUCAGCACCACAUACAAACAAAGAUGUUGUGUCCGCCG